UACAGAGGGUGCGAGCGUUGUUCGGAUUUACUGGGCGUAAAGGGCGCGUAGGCGGUCAGCACAAGUCAGUUGUGAAAUCUCCGGGCUUAACUCGGAAAGGUCAACUGAUACUGUGCGACUAGAGUGCAGAAGGGGCAACUGGAAUUCUCGGUGUAGCGGUGAAAUGCGUAGAUAUCGAGAGGAACACCUGCGGCGAAGGCGGGUUGCUGGGCUGACACUGACGCUGAGGCGCGAAAGCCAGGGGAGCGAACGGG
rnacentral:rRNA from 1 species